UACGGGGGGAGCAAGCGUUGUUCGGAUUUACUGGGCGUAAAGGGCGCGUAGGCGGCGUGACAAGUCACUUGUGAAAUCUCCGGGCUUAACUCGGAACGGUCAAGUGAUACUGUCGUGCUAGAGUACAGAAGGGGCAACUGGAAUUCUCGGUGUAGCGGUGAAAUGCGUAGAUAUCGAGAGGAACACCUGCGGCGGAGGCGGGUUGCUGGGCUGAUACUGACGCUGAGGCGCGAAAGCUAGGGGAGCGAACGGG
rnacentral:rRNA from 1 species